CUCAGGGACCGGCCUGGGUAGCAACCAGAGCUCUUCACUGCCCACCUUCUCAUUCAUCUUCAAAAAAGUCCUUGUUUCUAAUCACGCGAUCCUCUAAUUUAUUUUUGAGUCAUCUCUACAACCAACACAGGGCUUGAACUUACAACCCUGAGAUCAAGCGUCAGACGCUCCACCGACAGAGCCGGCCCAGAACCCCUGCAAUUUCUAAAAAACUCAAGAGCAGGUGGGUGAGGGCCGACAGGGGAGCCCACCUCAUCAAGCGGAUCACACCAGAACUGCGGCCUUGACCUCCGGAUGAAGGAAACUCCCGUGACAGCUGGCAAAGUGGCCACAGGGAUAACGAGGCACAUUUGUAAGAGUCCUUAUUUUAAAAGUGACCUUGUAUUUACAAACUUGCCAUUUAUUUUUGCAGUCUGUGAAGUAAAUGCCUCCGGCUGAAGGCCAUGAAGCACUGCUGAAGGACAGGAAAACUGGCAGCGAAAGGGCAGAGGUCAGCAGGAGAACCAGAACCCAGGCGGCAAACAGAGUCGCUUCCCUCUCCUACCGACGCCAGAGGCGCCCUACAGGCCAGGACGCAUGUUCACAGUUCCCUCCUGAAGUCCACUAAAGAACCGCGACACAAGGGGAUUUAAAACAGAACAAAAGCUGCUUUCUGUUAGUCACUGUCCAGAGCAUCUUCUGCAAUAAAGACGUAUCAACUUUACAGCAGAAGCGAUAAACUUCUGAGAUACAGUAAUACCAAAACCUUACAAUGAGCAUGGGAGGUUUCCUUAUUCAAUUCAGGUCUUAUAAAAUUAGUGGUAUUAUUUUAAAAUUCUGAUGAUUCCCAAAAAAGCCUUAGGGUUCUAAGA